rnacentral:ncRNA from 2 species
UAAAUAUGGUUUGCAUACCUUCAUAUAUCCUCGAUAAUAUGGUUCGAAAGUCUCUACCGGGUCACCGUAAAUGAUCUGACUAUGAAGGCAGUAUUCAUUUUG